GUCCUCUUGAUUUAUUAUGAGAGGUUUGACCUGCCCAGUGAUAUAUUUAACGGCCGCGGUAUUUUGACCGUGCAAAGGUAGCAUAAUCAUUAGUCUUUUAAAAGGGGGCUGGAAUGAAGGGUUUGACGAGGAAUCUACUGUCUCAUUUUAUUUGUAUUUAGAAUUUAACUUUUUAGUCAAAAGGCUAAAAUUUUGUUGGAAGACGAGAAGACCCUAUAGAGCUUUAUACUUAUUCAAUUAUUUAUUUUAUAUUAUUUUUAAUUAUUUUGAUUAAGUAUUUUGUUGGGGUGACAAAAAUAUAUAAUUAACUUUUUUAUAUUAAUUACAUUGAUUUAUGAAUAUUAGAUCCAUUAUUAUUGAUUGUUAGAUUAAGUUACCUUAGGGAUAACAGCGUAAUCCUUUCCCAGAGUUCAUAUUUACGGAGGGGCUUGCGACCUCGAUGUUGGAUUAAGAUAAUUAUUAGGUGUAGCCGCUUAAUUAAUAGGUCUGUUCGACCUUUAAAUUCUU
rnacentral:rRNA from 1 species